rnacentral:rRNA from 1 species
CCUACGGGUGGCAGCAGUGGGGAAUAUUGCGCAAUGGGCGAAAGCCUGACGCAGCGACGCCGCGUGAGGGAUGAAGGUCUUCGGAUCGUAAACCUCUGUCAGAAGGGAAGAACGGUCACUGUGCUAAUCAGCAGUGAAUUGACGGUACCUGCAAAGGAAGCACCGGCUAACUCGGUGCCAGAAGCCGCGGUAAUACGGAGGGUGCGAGCGUUAAUCGGAAUUACGGGGCGGAAAGCGCUCGUAGGCGGUAUGUCAAGUCAAGGGGGAAAUCCCCGGGCUCAACGUGGGAACUGCCUUUGAAACUGGCAGACUAGAGUGUGUGAGAGGAUAGCGGAAUUCCAGGUGUA